rnacentral:rRNA from 1 species
CAGCAGCCUCGGUAAUACGUAGGGUGCAAGCGUUAAUCGGAAUUACUGGGCGUAAAGCGUGCGCAGGCGGUUAUAUAAGACAGAUGUGAAAUCCCCGGGCUCAACCUGGGAACUGCAUUUGUGACUGUAUAGCUAGAGUACGGCAGAGGGGGAUGGAAUUCCGCGUGUAGCAGUGAAAUGCGUAGAUAUGCGGAGGAACACCGAUGGCGAAGGCAAUCCCCUGGGCCUGUACUGACGCUCAUGCACGAAAGCGUGGGGAGCAAACAGGAUUAGAUACCCCCGUAGUCCCUGUCUCUUAUAC